GAACACAAAAUGGCGACACGUGGUUAGCAUUCGUCGCCAACGAGAAAUUGGGGUCGGCCCGAAAGCUCUAGAAUGCACCCCUAUUCCUCCCCGGGGCCAUUCCCGCUCAACGAGUUUUAUGACCUAAAAAACCCCACAGGCUGGUCUGAAGAGGAAGACACUUAAAGAUGAAGUGCUUAAUUCAAGGUCACAGAAUGUCGGGGAUGGACCUCCAGAUUUCCUUACUGACCUGCAUUAUCUUGUGGAUACCUGAGUGAAUUCCACACCACCCAUUUUAUAGAUGAAGCCACUGAGACGUGGAGCAACUGACUGAGUAGUCACUGCCCCACCCCUGCCUGGAGCCUCACACAUGACUUCUCUUAGUGACCACAGUACUUAUCCUGUAUUACAUGAGGGAAAUGAAAUAAAAAGACUGCAACCCUCCUCCCAGCUACUCUAGUGAGGUGGUAGCUAGGUGAGACGUGGUCUUGUAACACAGUGGUUAAGAAUGUGACUUUGGAGCCAGCCUGCUAGGGGCUGAAUUCUGACUCAGCCAUUUAUUAACUGUGUGACCUUAGAUGGAGUCUCACUCUGUAGCCCAAGCUGGAGUGGCGUGAUCUCGACUCACUGCAACCUCCGCCUCCUGGGCUCAAGUGAUUCUCGUGCCUCAGCCUCCUGAGUAGCUGGGACUACAGGUCAUAGAAUUUUCCAC
rnacentral:antisense_RNA from 1 species